CGUACAUUAACAUAAAUUUAUAAUUUCUUUUAGUGCCAGCAUGGAGAAAUUCUGCCUGAAACUGAAAUCAAGGGAAGGACAGGUCAUAGAGUGAGAUUUUUAGUACCAAUCCUAAAAUAUUUUACCAACAACACUAGUUGCUACCCUCAUAAAAGUUUAUAUCAUUUCAGUAUUGAUGAAAUUCAUCAAUUACUCCCUUGAUUUUAUCAACACAUGAUAAUUAAUACUAUAUUU
rnacentral:lncRNA from 1 species